CAAAGCCCCAACAACUUCCUCCCAGCCGAAUCCAAACCUCCACGUCCGCAGCUUCAUCCUCCCAAGCUUCACGGGAACAGAACCAGGAUCUCCUUCCACGUCCGUUUCUCCAGCUUCAUCUUUCCAAGAUCCCAACUUCCCAUCCCCUGUUUCACGUACAUCCUUUUCCGUGAGUUCAUCCCAGUUCCCCUUCUUCUGUGAUCCAACUCCAGCCUCCGAGAUCCUCUCAAGCCAAUCCAGUAUCCAGUGUCUUCCCUCUUCUGAACCAACCUAGCCUCCCUCGGAAUCACCUCUUCAUCUCCCACGGAUCAUUCAUUUCGGGAUUUCCUCCCAGCCGCAACCAGCUAUCUCCCAGCUGUCCCAAAUCCCAUCUUUUCCGCGAUCGAGUUCAUCUUCCCUUCAUUUCGUUUAGCAUCCAUCUUCAUUCCAUCAACUGCAUUCAACCCAUAAUGCAACUCCAUCCUCCCGAGCCUCACGGACCAGCAAACAAGGCAUCUAAGCUUAUUCUCCCCUGUUCCGGAUCACUUAACAUCCGUUCCCAACCGUGAGCUUCAUCCAAACUCCCGGAUUAAUCUCAACCUCUCUCGCAGCCGGAUAUCUCAUGUCCAGCUGGGAUGAGCAUCACGAACGGAUCUUAGCCUUUCAGCCGAAGCAUUUCAGUUCAUCCAACGCUCUCCACAUCUUCCCCUGCUUCGGAACAAACUCCCAGUUCACCUUAUCUUCACCCACGG
rnacentral:lncRNA from 1 species